rnacentral:rRNA from 1 species
ACCUGAAAGAUGGUGAACUAUGCCUGAGCAGGGUGAAGCCAGAGGAAACUAUGGUGGAGGCCCGAAGCGGUUCUGACGUGCAAAUCGAUCGCGUGACUUGGGUAAUAGGGGGAAGAAUACC